rnacentral:rRNA from 1 species
UACGUAGGGAGCAAGCGUUGUCCGGAAUUAUUGGGCGUAAAGAGCGCGUAGGCGGUCCGAUAAGUCGGCUGUGAAAGUCAGGGGCUCAACCCUUGAAAGCCGGCCGAUACUGUCGGACUAGAGUCCGGAAGAGGCAAGUGGAAUUCCCGGUGUAGCGGUGAAAUGCGCAGAUAUCGGGAGGAACACCAGUGGCGAAGGCGGCCUGCUGGGCUGUUGCUGACGCUGAGGCGCGACAGCGUGGGGAGCAAACAGG